rnacentral:rRNA from 1 species
GAUGAACGCUGGCGGCGUGCUUAACACAUGCAAGUCGAACGGAAAGGCCCUGCUUUUGUGGGGUGCUCGAGUGGCGAACGGGUGAGUAACACGUGAGUAACCUGCCCUUGACUUUGGGAUAACUUCAGGAAACUGGGGCUAAUACCGGAUAGGAGCUCCUGCUGCAUGGUGGGGGUUGGAAAGUUUCGGCGGUUGGGGAUGGACUCGCGGCUUAUCAGCUUGUUGGUGGGGUAGUGGCUUACCAAGGCUUUGACGGGUAGCCGGCCUGAGAGGGUGACCGGCCACAUUGGGACUGAGAUACGCCCAGACUCCUACGGGAGGCAGCAGUGGGGAAUAUUGCACAAUGGGCGGAAGCCUGAUGCAGCAACGCCGCGUGCGGGAUGACGGCCUUCGGGUUGUAAACCGCUUUCGCCUGUGACGAAGCGUGAGUGACGGUAAUGGGUAAAGAAGCACCGGCUAACUACGUG